CCCAGGUUAGGAUCAGGGCCCCAGAGGCCCAGGGUCAAGGCUAAGGGCGCAUCCCAAGGACAUGCAUCCCUCCAAGAGGCUGCAUCCAACAGGCAUAGAAGAGGCUCCGCUGGAGCCUGCUCCGAGUCAGGCAGGGGAAAGCCAGUGGAAGUGCUUCUUGAAGAAAGAGUGGAAUCCCACGUAUCUCAGGGGUUCUGUCCUGGCCUGCAGCCCUGGAUCGUCAGAACUGGGCCGAAGGGGUGAGCAGACUUCACCCUUCCUGGCUGGGGCGGAGGGUGAGGGUCCUGCUUGAAGGGCCUAGCCCUGGGUUCCCAGCCACGGCUUCACUCUGUAGCGCCUGGCCCCGCCCAGCCCCUCAAGGCCUGGCAGUCGCCCUCAACAAAGAUGGCGAGGAUGGCCUCAGGCGCGUUGCGUGUCACGUCGCGCGAGAUGCAGGGCUCCUCCCGCGCUGCUCUUAGACCCCUAGACGGUGGCCCAGCGGAGGAGUGGAAGGUGUGGUCUGUGGGGCUCCCUGACACCUGGUAGGCGCUCAGGCAGCUGUUGUGGGGCUGCGCGCUGGCGCUGCAGGGCGGAAUGUUAUACCCCCGAGAGAGGCCGUUGCGGGAGCGCAACAAGCUGGAGGCCUCUGGAGCUUCCGCGCCGACCUCUUGGACAUCAGGUGCGGUGGCUUCUAGGAGCAGUGUUAUCGGUGUCCGCUGCGAGAGUCGGGCCCCACCCUGGACAUGCCGGUUCCUUCCAGCUUCAACGACAUUGGCCAGGACUGGCGGCUGCAGCAUUUUGUCAGCCAGGUGUGGUAUGAACAGGAGGUGACCCUGCCGGAGCAAUGAACCCAGGACCUGCGCACAAGAGUGGUGCUGAGGCUUGGCAGUGCCCACUCCUAUGCCAUCGUGGUCAGUGCAGCCAGGAGCAGGCAGGGCGGGUGGGUGGGCACGGCUGCUGAACAGCCUUUCUCCUGGGGUGGGACUGUGGUGGGCCCUGCCCUGCCCUGCCCUGGGGGCUGUGCCCUGUGCAGGGGGAUAGGUGGCCUGAUCUACCCCAUUGGGAUGCCAUUCUUCCUGUCUGACUGGCAGGCCCCUGAGCCCCAUGCUGCAGUUUAUGUGAGGGAGUGCCCAAUAGCAGGGCCCCUCCUCAUGCCCUGACCUGCCCCCCACCCUCCCCGUAUCCCCUGUGUCUACAGUGGGUAAA
rnacentral:lncRNA from 1 species